UACGGGGGGGGCAAGCGUUGUUCGGAAUUACUGGGCGUAAAGGGCCAGUAGGCGGCCAACUAAGUCCGACGUGAAAUCCCCAGGCUUAACCUGGGAACUGCGUCGGAUACUGGAUGGCUUGAAUUCGGGAGAGGGAUGCAGAAUUCCAGGUGUAGCGGUGAAAUGCGUAGAUAUCGUUUGGAACGCCAAUGGUGAAAACAGGUAGCUGGGGGUGUGCUGACACUGAGACACGAAAGCCAGGGGAGCAAACGGG
rnacentral:rRNA from 1 species